rnacentral:rRNA from 1 species
AGUGAACGCUGGCGGUAGGCCUAACACAUGCAAGUCGAACGGCAGCACAGUAAGAGCUUGCUCUUACGGGUGGCGGGUGGCGGACGGGUGAGGAAUACAUCGGAAUCUACUUUUUCGUGGGGGAUAACGUAGGGAAACUUACGCUAAUACCGCAUACGACCUACGGGUGAAAGCAGGGGAUCUUCGGACCUUGCGCGAUUGAAUGAGCCGAUGUCGGAUUAGCUAGUUGGCGGGGUAAAGGCCCACCAAGGCGACGAUCCGUAGCUGGUCUGAGAGGAUGAUCAGCCACACUGGAACUGAGACACGGUCCAGACUCCUACGGGAGGCAGCAGUGGGGAAUAUUGGACAAAGGGCGCAAGCCUGAUCCAGCCAUACCGCGUGGGUGAAGAAGGCCUUCGGGUUGUAAAGCCCUUUUGUUGGGAAAGAAAAGCAGCAGGUUAAUACCCCGCUGUUCCGACGGUACCCAAAGAAUAAGCACCGGCUAACUUCGUG